rnacentral:rRNA from 1 species
AACGAACGCUGGCGGCAGGCUUAACACAUGCCAGUCGAGCGCCCCGCAAGGGGAGCGGCAGACGGGUGAGUACCGCGUGGGAACGUACCUUUUGGUUCGGAACAACUCCGGGAAACUGGAGCUAAUACCGGAUAAGCCCUAACGGGGAAAGAUUUAUCGCCGAAAGAUCGGCCCGCGUCUGAUUAGCUAGUUGGUGAGGUAACGGCUCACCAAGGCGACGAUCAGUAGCUGGUCUGAGAGGAUGAUCAGCCACACUGGGACUGAGACACGGCCCAGACUCCUACGGGAGGCAGCAGUGGGGAAUAUUGGACAAUGGGCGCAAGCCUGAUCCAGCCAUGCCGCGUGAGUGAUGAAGGCCUUAGGGUUGUAAAGCUCUUUUGUCCGGGAAGAUAAUGACUGUACCGGAAGAAUAAGCCCCGGCUAACUUCGUG